rnacentral:tRNA from 1 species
UUCCUGGUGGCUCAGAGGUUAAAGCAUCUGCCUGGCAUGUGGGAGACCCAGGUUCGAUCCCUGGGUUGGGAA